AAAUAUUCCUAUAGAUAUUGUAUAUUUCCAUAACAGCUGAAGUGUAGGGUGCUUUACUGCUUUCAAACACAAAUCCUGGAUAAAUUUGAGCCAAAGACGUUUUAAAGAUUAUGCCUAUUAGAAGAGAGCUUAAUCUCGGUGCAGUCGUGAAUUGGACGAGUGUUACACGGCGCCAGGACGCUGGCGGACACACCCGUCCUGGUCUGGUUUAUGUCGCCGAUUACACCGACAAGCGCAACCCAGAAGACUGAAUUGCCUGGCUGCCUCAAUUACAAAGAUGACCUCCCGAUUCCUCUACUGAAUGUAAGAUUUGCAAAGCAUGCACAAAAGAAUGAUAUUCUCAUCCCAAUGGCUUUAGGAUCAUCCAGAUGCUUCCUAGAAAACUUGGGGUGACACGCUAAGAACAAUGGAUUGUGUGUUGCUGCUUCCUCAAGUCCUGUUAGGAAAAAAGUGUUUUUCUGAUGGUGGAUUCAUUAAUACUGCAUUUCUUUAUGGUUAGAGAAGCCCACAGAUCUCUAGUGUUCUUUCUUUGCUCCUCUGUUCAGCUUUCCUAAUGAAGACCCUCAUUUCAAGUUACUUGUAAUAUAAAAUAGAGUAACAGGACAAAACUUUGACUUUAACUGUUAUCAGGUUAAUUUUGUUAUUUUAUCCAUAUGUUGUGUUAAGUUACUAAAUCCUUGCUUUGUUUUUCACAGCCCUAAAUAAACAAGU